rnacentral:tRNA from 1 species
UAUAUUAUUCUUUUAUUAUAA